rnacentral:misc_RNA from 1 species
CCCCACAGUGAAUAUUCAUAAUCAAAGGCAAUGGAGGCGGCAGUUAUGGUAUCGCGAGCGAGGCGGACGGGGACGGUGGUGCAGAUCUUGAAAGCAGUAGCUGGAUCUUCGGAAGUGGCAAUGGCGGCCCCGCCAGUGAAAAUCGCGGUGGCUGCAACGGCAAGCUUUGCCCGGCUGCGCCAUAGAGAUCGCGUGGCCAUUCUCCCUCCUUUAUUUUCUGAAAUCG